rnacentral:rRNA from 1 species
UACGAAGGGGGCUAGCGUUGUUCGGAAUCACUGGGCGUAAAGCGCACGUAGGCGGAUCUUUAAGUCAGGGGUGAAAUCCCGAGGCUCAACCUCGGAACUGCCUUUGAUACUGGGGAUCUCGAGUCCGGGAGAGGUGAGUGGAACUGCGAGUGUAGAGGUGAAAUUCGUAGAUAUUCGCAAGAACACCAGUGGCGAAGGCGGCUCACUGGCCCGGAACUGACGCUGAGGCAUGAAAGCGUGGGGAGCAAACAGG